UGCAUGUCGCCUGUAACGUUGUGGCGUGGGGAGAGAGACAGAGUGCCUCCCGUGUCUUUCACUUCUUGUCCCAAAAUGGGGGAGAGAAACAAAAUCUGAGCUGCCGGAGUGAUUUAGAGUGGCCGACAGCUCAAAGAGCUGCUGUAACAUCUGCAUCUGAAAACACGUCGUAACAGACAGCUGAAACUUUCCGGCUGUUCAAUGCGCCGUUACUCCCACUACUCCCUUGGUAACGAAGAAAUUAUAUUUCUUUACCGAGGGAGUACUAUUUUUGGGUUUCUUGCUUUGAACAAAUCAAUUGCUUCGUCCAGAAGUUUUUCCUGGAUCUACCAUUUCUCCUCCUCCUCCUCCUCUCCCUUUCUCUCUCUCUCAAUUGUUGAUCGAGAGAUAUUCAUUCUCCCCUUUCCUCGCAAAAGAAGAGAGAUAUUCAUUCUCCGCAUUCCCGAUCCGUUUGUUCGGAGAUGAUUGAUUCCCUCUCUCGAUUCAUCUGUCAAGGGAUAAUUCAGCGUCUCUCCAAUUCCAUUUCUUAACAGAUAGUCCAGCCUCUUGCUUCUUCUUCUUUUUUUUGCGAGGAAUCUUGCAUUCAUUUGUAGAGAGACAAUAAUUCAUCAUCUCCUCCCAUUCCAUUUGUACAAGGAUAAGAUAAUCCAUCAUCUCCUCUCAUUCCAUUUGCCGAGCGAUAAUACAUUCAUUGCCGCAUCGCAAAUAUGCAUCAAUACCAGGGCAGCUCUCAUCGCGACGGGGAAGAAGGAACUCCUGAGCCGAUGACGCCUCCGUCCAAGGAGGAGGAGGAAGAGGAGCCUCCUCGUAAGCCUCCGGUGUCCACAACAUGCUUCAUAUUAGGAUUUUUCGCUGCGCUAUGUUGCUGCUGCUUGGUUGACGAGCCGCUCAUGUGACACGCUUGUCUUGCGUGCUGUGCCGUGCCUUGUACAUACUGCGGGAAACAACAUGCUAUUAGAAAAUGUCUAUGGCCCGUGAAUGCCUUGCUUUCAUACUGAAAUUCGGAAAUUUCUCCUUGCACACAAGUGAUUGUUGGAACUAUAUAGGUCAGGGCUAUUGAACAAAUUCAAUAAUUUCUAGGUUGAACUUUAGCCCAUAUUGCUACUCGAAGCGGAGUUAGACCGACAUAUUUUUUGACAAAUUUCCUUCUACCGCUAAGAGUUUGAGAAGAACGUACAUACACGCGCAUUUACUACCGCCUUGCCUCUUUCAUGAACAAGAUUAGAUGGGCUCGAGCCCAUGACGAGCGUGUGCGUUGUCUUUUCUUUACUUUUGUGAUAGAAGUCGAAACAGAGCGAUUUUGUGGCCUGCAAUAACACUGAAGAGAGGAGAUAAAGGUUUUGGGGGAGGAGUCCUUCAUAAUUGUUAGGUUUAGUUUGGCGGAGCAUUCAAUCCAAGUGUGGGAAUCAUUUCGACUUCAUGUAUUUGUAUGGAUCACGUUCUACUACCUCCGGUUUGUGAUUCGACCUCCCGUAGAACAAGACUACUUCUUUUCCACAAGCAAACAACCACUCGUCUUGGGUUCAGCUGACUACUCGUUGAUUCGUCCACUUCCUUAACAUUGUCUACUUCGUCUUCAUUGCUUCAAAUGACUCCAAGGAUGUCACCAUGAGGCUGUUAUGAUCACUGCCAAUGUUGCUACCAAGGGUGCUUCUUCUUCAUCCGGCAUGUAUGUGUUCUUAUCCCUCUGUUAGGGACUGCUUUUGGUGUUAAUGUUGGCAUGCUAUAAUUUCCUUAUAUACCAAACCGCAAGUCCAGAUUGUUGAGCACUACUAGUUGGAUUAUUUUGUGUAUUAGGUUCAUGUUGCAUUGUCUACCUUAUUUAGGAUUAAUUAUAAUAAAAGGUUGCUUCUAUUUUCAAAAAUCAAGAAAAAAAUAUUAUCGGCAAUUUUCAUCAAUUGGCUUCAUGGCCCUCAAACCUUGUGUACAAGAGAGUGUGAGUUACAAGAAACGAUGCAAAAUGACUAUGCUUUGGCCAACAACCAUGAACUGCUUUCAUGCCUCCAAGCGAAAACCUGAAGGCACGCUUACUUCUCAAUAGGAGGAAGCAUUUGAAGUUGUCGACAAACUCUUCAUCAAAGAGAUAGGUGGGAGCAGGCCAAGUUUGCGGUCUCAAAUGUACGUUGUGAUUUGUAUCUCAAGGAGCCGUAUCAUGACUAGAAAUUGAUUGAUGAAUGCUCAGUAAUUGAGCGGGAAAAUGAGAUCUAAUCACUUGCCAAGGAACAUGAGCACUUCUCGUGUGUGUUGUCACGCAAGUUUGUUGUCUGCAACAUUAUUGCCAAGCUUCCUCUCUGAUGGAGAAAUUUUGCCACUCUCUUGAAACACAAGAGACAUGAGUUUUUUGUUGUGAAUCUCACUAUGACUCUUAAUGUUCAAGAAUAGGCGAGGGCAAAAUACACAUGUGCCCUAGCUAAUGAUGGAAAUUCUAGUGCCAAUGUGGUACAAAGGAAUAUAUUUUUGCAGAGUACAAAAAAAUAGUUUGCGGUCCCACAAGUUCAACAAGAACAAAUAUGAGGGCAAGGGCAAGUUUGAAGGAAAGAACACAGGAUCACGGCCUACCAACUUUAGUGAUACUCGUAAGAGAAAAUGAGUAUGCCAUGUGUGAUCCUAGGCAUCGGCCACAUGGUUGGCAACAUCAUGGGAAAAGCGACAAGGCCAUUGAUGUUAUCAUUGACGAUACUAAGAUGAACACAACAAUGUGUGGUAAUUUCCAUAAUGUUGUUUCAAUAUAUCAGUAUGUUGAACGGUGGAUU